GGGAUGUGGCUCAGUGGUACAGUGUUUGCCUAGCAUGCACAAGGCCCUGGGGUCAAUCCCUAGCACACA
rnacentral:tRNA from 1 species